CUGUUUUUGCCCUUGGCGAAGGCAAAUAGUGCUGCUCUCUUCUGGCACAGAUGACCUAAACGGCCAUUUUUGGCCGGCGCUGCCAGAUCGCCAAACAGGGUGCAAUUGCAGCUCAGUGGCAACACGAAGCGUUUGCGCGAGAGAAAUUUCUAAGCAUUUUCGGGGUAAAAUACGCCUUAAAUGGCUUAGUGUGCGGCAAAAACAGUCGAAAUAGCGAUAGUGCAGUGAUUGAUAAGGCCGAAAGCCGUGGAAGUGACUGUGUGCGAAUGAGAGCUCGCUAGCUGCUAAUUAAAUUAUAAAACAUACAGAACACAGAAGCGCUAAAGACGGGCCAACCAAGCCCACAAUCCCCGCUUUUUGGCCUAUUUCGCUGAAGAAAAGAGAAGGAACCGAGGAGAGAGUGCUGCAAAGAAGCUUUCACCAAAUCUAGUUUUCCUGCUUGGACUCUCGCCCAGGAGCUCACUAUGUAGACUCAACCCAAGAAAUCAUCAUCGUCAGCAGAAGCAGGGGAAAUCUACAAGAGAGCCAACAUGUCGUUUAUCACCAACCUGAAGAAGGUCUUCCACCUCGGCGGGGGUGAGGCCAAGAAGAAGCGCCUGUACAACAACAUCAAGAUGGACACGGAUCCGGCGGAGUUCUGGGAAAUGGUCGGCGAACUCGGCGACGGUGCCUUCGGCAAGGUGUACAAGGCCCAGCACAAGGAGCAGAAGCGCUUUGCUGCGGCCAAAAUGUGCCAGCUGGAGGACGAGGAGAACCUCAGCGAUCACAUGGUCGAGAUCGAUAUUCUUUCGGAGAUCAAGCACCCAAAUAUUGUGGAGCUGUAUGAGGCCUUUUCCAUCGAUGAUAAGCUGUGGAUGCUCAUCGAGUACUGCGAUGGAGGAGCCCUCGAUAGCAUUAUGGUGGAGCUGGAAAAGCCCCUGACUGAGCCGCAGAUUGCCUAUGUUUGCAAGCACAUGACCGAGGGUCUUACCUUCCUGCACCGCAACAAAGUCAUCCAUCGUGAUUUAAAGGCAGGAAACGUGCUUCUCACAAUGGAAGGUGGCGUCAAAUUGGCGGACUUUGGCGUCUCUGCCAAAAACAAGCACACCAUGCAGAAGCACGACACCUUCAUUGGCACUCCUUACUGGAUGGCCCCGGAGCUGGUGCUCUGCGAAACGUUCCGGGACAACCCGUACGAUCACAAAGUUGACAUCUGGUCACUGGGCAUCACGCUCAUCGAGCUGGCGCAGAUGGAGCCGCCCAACAGCGAGAUGUCGCCCAUGCGAGUGCUCCUGAAAAUCCAAAAGAGCGAGCCGCCCAAGCUGGAGCAGCCUUCUCGAUGGAGCAAGGAGUUUAACGACUUCCUGAAGAAGUCCUUAGUCAAGGAUCCGCAAGUGAGGCCCACGACGGAUGUGCUGAUGCAGCACGCCUUCAUCAACAGAAAUCUGGACGCCAAGCCCAUCAAGGAUCUGCUGCUUGAGUACAAGGCCGAGGUCGUGGAAGAGGUGGUGGAUGAUGAGACCGAGGAACCCCGCAACUCGGCGCUCCAGCUCGACCUGGACGAUGACUCUGCUUCGCUGCAGAGCCAAGACAUUGACAAACUUCCAGGUACACCUACAUCCAUUUUGCGGGAUGCCAAAGAGCAGUCCCAACCAAGUAGCAGUUUACCAAUCGCAGCAGCGGCAACUGCAGCAGCAGCAGCUACAACCACAACUAAAGCAACCACUCCGGACAGACCAAACAACACAAAGGAUGACAAUGCUGAAGCGGCAGCCCAGCAGCCGCCGCAUACCAAAGUGCCUGCUCCAGCGCCGCCGUCGUCCCAACAAACGCCACCACCGCAAGUUCAGCAGCCACCUACACCACCAGCCCAAACCACAGCGGCUGUGCUGCAAAAGAAACCCGAGGAUGUGGUAGCUGUUGCAGAAACAUCUGAAAAAACCGAUUCCGACAAGAAGCACUUUGUCAAAAAGGGUAAGGCCCCGCCCCCGCCGUCACCAUUGGGCCUUGCAAAUGCCAAGCCGGCUGCCAGCGAUUCCCAGACGUCUCCCAAGAAACUGGCCACUCCCGAACCCGCUUCUCCAGUCACCACGGCUAUUGAGGUGGCCAUUGGCCAAGAAGCGAUGGAGCCGAAACCGCAGCCGCCUUCGCCCACAGCCUCCUCCAUUGUGUCAGUGCAAUCGGUGGCCUCCUCCAGCUCCUCGGGCAGUGUCUCGAAUGCUGUUCUCAGUUCGAGCACUUCCCUUAUUACCAUCAACAGCGAUCCACCCACACCGCAGCAUCACCAACCGCUGCCGCUUCAACCGCAGCACUUGGUUUUGCCAAACAGCUUGGAGUCGGUGAGUCAGAUUACAGUCGUGACUAGCACCCAUCCGCCGGUGAUCAUCGACAACUCGGUGGUACCGCCGCAAAACGAAGUGAUCAUCGUGUCCAACGAUCUGAACAAGAGCACUCACCUGCAUGAAUCCUCGACGGACGACGAUUUUCCAUCGCUGGACGACAGUUUGGGCGAUGCCAGCACUCCGCCCCACAAGCAAUCCUCAAUGAUAUUGGCUGUUAACGAGCCAGCAGGGGUGCUUCCUGCUCCUCCGUCGCAACCGCAAACUUCUUCCACUGUUCACGCCCGCAAACUGGACGAAAGUGAGGUGUUAAUCGUGAGUCCGUCCUACGCGGAUGAUGACUCGGCCUAUAACACUGCGUCUGGCAGUCAUAGCCAUGAUCACAGUGACCAUCUGAUGGACACGAGCCACGUCUCCGUGGUCACCGUGGGCGAUGAGGGAGUCAAGGUGAAGGACAGCAGCAAUGAGCUGGGCAAGCGCCAGCCCAAUGGAGUUGGCAUAGUGCCGGAAGACGUAAACAUCAUUGUAAACCGAUUCAAGCACGAGAAGCGGUCGCCGGACAGCUCGCUGAGCGAGAAUGGCUCGGUGCGCGGACGCCGUGGUAUUGAGGUGCUGGUUGGCGGCAGCGGAGGAUCUGACGUGGACAGCAUUGGCACAAACACUAGUCAGGAAAGCCGGCACGAAACGGAUCACAACAACAAGCAGCAGUAUCCAGCGGCCGCGCUGAUGCCUCCACCACCUCCCUCGUUGACGAAUAACCACAAUCACGAGACCAUUGAUGAGGAAGAGGAGGUGGUGAUCCGGCCCAAGGCUAGGGUUCCCCCCGUAGUUAAGUCUGCAAACUCUCAAGGUCUCACCAAGGAAGAGAUUGAGCUGCGCAACCUGCGCAAGAAGACACGCAAGCGCACCCGCAAAUUCGAGAUUGAUGGCGUGCAAAUGACAACAACCACAAGUCGAGUGAUUUACGGAGAUGACGAGAACGGACGAAUCUACGAUGAUCACGACUUCCGAAAGCAGGAGCUGCGUGAGCUAAAGAUGCUGCAGAAGCAGGAGAAGAAACAGCAGACAGAGCUGCACUUAAAGGAGCAGCAGGCCAAGGAACAGCAGGAUCGUCGCUUUGAGCAGGAGCGCUCCUCGCUGGAAAAGACCUACGAGGCGGACAUGGAUAUGUUGGCGCGUCAGCACAAGCAGCUGGUGGAAAAGACAGAGCAGACGCAGGAGAACGAGCUGCGCUCCUCAUCUAAACGCAUUCGCUCCGAGCAGGAGCAAGAGUUGAAGAUCUUCCGAGAGAAUCUCAAGCAGGAGAUCCGACUGCUCAAGCAGGAAGUUGACCUGUUUCCCAAGGACAAGCGCAAGGAUGAGUUCAAGCAGCGACGUUCAGCCAUGGAUCUGGACCACGAAGAGAAGGAACGCGCCUUCCUGGAUUCUCUAAAGGAGAGGCAUGAACUUCUACUUAGGCGCUUAAGCGAGAAGCACCGGGACCACCUGGCCACCAUCAACCGAAACUUUUUGCAGCAGAAACAGAACGCCAUGAGGACGCGGGAGGCACUUCUCUGGGAACUAGAGGAGAAGCAGCUUCACGAACGACAUCAGUUGUCCAAGCGGCAUGUUAAGGAACUAUGUUUCAUGCAGCGACAUCAAAUGAUAAUCCGGCACGAGAAGGAACUGGACCAGGUGAAGCGCAUGUUGCAGCGUAAGGAGGAGGACAUGGUCAAGAAGCAGACGAUGGAGAAGCGGGCGCUGCCCAAGCGCAUCCGGGCGGAGCGCAAGGCGCGAGAUCUGAUGUUCCGUGAGUCCCUGCGCAUUUCCACGAACCUAGAUCCUGAAAUCGAACGCGAUCGCUUGAAGAAGUUCCAGGAGCAAGAGAAGAAGCGGUAUAUGCAGGAGGAGCGACGCUUCGAAGUCAAGCAUCAAAAGCAAUUGGAAGAGCUGCGCGCCACACGUGAAAGCGCCAUAAAAGAACUGGAACAACUUCAGAACGAAAAGCGAAGGGCUCUGGUGGAGCACGAACACUCCAAGCUUUCCGAGAUCGAUGAGCGACUGAAGGGGGAGCUGCGCGAGUGGCGCGAACAGUUGGUGCCCCGUAAACAGGAGCUGAACAAACAGAUCACGCUGGCCAUUGAUCAGCACGAAAAGCGCUUUGGCCUUGUGGCCAACCGCGAGGAGUUCGAGGAUCAGGAGGUCAUGCUGCCCGCUUAUCUGCGCAACAUCUACAACGAGCGAUCCUCGCGCAUGCUACCCCGCAACACCUUUAUCGAUCCUCAAUACAUGCCGCGCUCUCGCUCCUCGCUGCUAAUGAUGGGGGGCGGUGGCAACCGACUGUCCAAUUUCCGCGGAUCAGCUCCAGAUCUUAGCCGCAGUGUGCCCAGCACUCCUAUCAUGCACAAACAACAGAGAUCGCAGAUGAUAAGCGAUCUGGUGCUGGAAGAGGACGAGGAGCAGAUGCUGAGCGAGCAGAUGAAGCGAGCCAGCGUCACCACGCUUCCGGCGCAAAACCAUCUUCGUCUUAUUACGCAGCUUCCGGCCAACGAGCUAGUGAAGGUAGUGACCUCCACCCCACCACUGAACAGCGCGGAGGAUGUGAACUCCAAGCCAGCCAUGAGCACCUUCAGAGGCAGUACGCCGCCCAAAACACCAGAUGAUCUGGGCUUGGUCACCAAUCGAUUCAGCCGCUUGGACACCAAGGCUGCGGCGGAGGCCAGCGGCGUGGAGCUGCGCAUUCACGAGGGCCCAGUGCUAACCGCCCACACGCAGCGGCUCCUGCACACCACCUCCUUUGCUAUCAAGCGACCCUCGCUGGCCAGCCGGAGCAGCGGCAGAUCGUCGCUGAGCAGUGCACAGUCGAUGUACAACAUAAACGAGCUGUCCACGCGGUUCGCCAGCGAUGCGGACCUCAUCUUUGACUCCGGACGCAAGGCAGCCGCUCUGCUGGACGAAGUGCAGCCGCAGCUGCGGUCCUCCGUCAAGCCAGGACACAGUCGCACCAAUGGAAGCGUCGCUUCGGCUGACUCCGCCGCCUCUUCCGAGGAUAUCUACUACGAUCUGUUUGCGGCGCAGUACAGACUGCCGCGAGUCAAUCAGCGGCAGCACAGCUGCGAGGAAGACUCAUCGGCCAUCUAGAAGACAAACGCGUAGAUCAUCGCGAUCAGCACUUGCCACGUUUCAGCAGCCAGUUUCCCGCUUGCACCUCAUCUACUAUACUAACCAGCCAAUCAACCUGUACUCACACCUACUGACACCGAAUCAACCUGCUUUACAUUCCUCGCUGGUGCUGGCUAACUGCACAUCCCUCGUAGUCCCCCCUUCCCCAAACUCUUCAUCCUGCUAACCGAAUUUGUAAAGCUUUUCUCACCUAUUUACCUGCAACGGAAAAUGCCAUACAUUCUGUCUUGCCAAAGUUGAUUGUUUGUUGGAAAUGCUAUUUUAAUGAACGAAAGUGGAUUAAUUGUUUGCCUAUUUUUAAUGUUAAAGUAUUCUCUUGACUUGGACCAGCCCUCCGCCUCCAAAUGCAUUCCAUUUAAGCAGUAUUAUCGAAGUACUUAGUAAACGAAAGUGAAAAAGAGUAUAACGAGUGUAAUGAAUGAUAAAGAUAAUACAAUCCACAUUCCACUUAGCAACAUGCCAAGCAUUUGUGUAGCCAUAUCUUACUCUAAACAUUCUUACAACUAUGAAAUACUUACAAAUAAAUAUUAUCAUAUCGCAAAUUUCAUGAUGCUUCACUGUACACACCCACUCUUAUAUAUAAACACCCACAUGCAAACAACAACGCGCUGCUAUCGAAAACCAAACCAAACCAAAACAAACCAAACAAAAACCAAACCGAAUCAAAAAUCUGUAUCCAAAAACUUUUCUUGCCGGCUCUCCUCUUCUCGUAAUGUGUAAAGCAACUACAGCAACGGCUGCAACAAGAGCGCCUGGAGGAGACCUUCGCCCAGCAGCUGGACGAGAUGGAGACCCUGUACGGCGGCGCCCUGAUUGUGUCCAUGCCCUCGGACACGCUGCAACGAGAUCACUUCACCGGCUCGACGCGCAG